rnacentral:rRNA from 1 species
CGUAGUCACGAGUUUGACUCCUGGCUCAGGAUGAACGCUAGCGGCAGGCCUAACACAUGCAAGUCGAGGGGUAGAGUUCUUCGGGACUUGAGACCGGCGCACGGGUGCGUUAACGCGUUAUGCAAUCUACCUUAUACAGGGAAUAGCCCAGAGAAAUUUGGAUUAAUGCCCCAUAGUGUUAUCGAAUCGCAUGGUUUGAUAACUAAAGUUCCAACGGUAUAAGAUGAGCAUGCGUCCCAUUAGUUAGUUGGUAAGGUAACGGCUUACCAAGACAAUGAUGGGUAGGGGUCCUGAGAGGGAGAUCCCCCACACUGGUACUGAGACACGGACCAGACUCCUACGGGAGGCAGCAGUGAGGAAUAUUGGUCAAUGGGCGCAAGCCUGAACCAGCCAUGCCGCGUGCAGGAAGACGGUCCUAUGGAUUGUAAACUGCUUUUAUACAGGAAGAAACCCUCCCACGUGUGGAAGAUUGACGGUACUGUAAGAAUAAGGAUCGGCUAACUCCGUG